UUUUUUUUUGAAGAGAAAGGCUUAACUCUUUUACAAGGAUUAAGGCUUAUGUCACUGGUUGAGAAAAACAACUCUGCCACCCUCUCCACAGGUGAUUAAAGCAUUAAGUGAACAAAACAUAACUCGGUAGGACUGGACAGAACAGAAGUCAGCCCUAUCUGAAAUGGCUUGGUGACAUUGUUCCCCCAAUAAUGGCUUCCUGAUUAGGCAGUGGCAAACCUGCCCCAUUAAAUCAUUUCUUUAGCAAAGAAUAAGCCUUAAGUAAAAGAGAGAAGUCAGGUCAUUUGGAGGCAGGAUGUAAACUAAAUGAUGUGAAUAAGCUAUUUCAGUUCUUUGUGGCUCUCAUGCAUUUCAGUCUGUAAACAUGGGACCCAGGGGAUCAGAAGAUUUAAAGAGAUGCCAUUGCUUGUUUCUACCAUAUUCUUACAAUUUCUCGCAAUUAAUAUUCCAUUAUCAAUGGUAAUCUAAGCAAACUUAAAAUCCCUGGUUUUUCCAUUCCAAGAAUUUUUUUUUCUUUUUAGGGCCACAGCCACAGCAUGUGGAAGUUCCCAGGCUAGGGCUCCAGUCAGAGCUGCAACUUCUGGCCUAUGCCACAGCCACAGUAACACCAGAUCUGAGCUGCAUCUGUAACUUGCACCACAGCUCACAGCAAUGUCAGAUUCUUAAUGCACUGAGCUAGUCUAGGAAUCGAACCCACAUCCUCAUGGAUACUAGUUGGGUUCAUUUCCACUGAGCCACCACAGGAACACCCAUUCCAAGCAAUUUUUAAAGUUCUCUGAUAGUUUUCCCUAUCAUAGAAUUCCAACGUCUUCUCCACUAUUUUCUUCUGUAGUCAAGACGAAUCAGAGAAAAUGAUCUAUAUUUCUGCCUCUAGACCCAUACUACUUUUUUUCAAACUUCUCUGUGUAGAAAUAUUCUACAGCCCAUGAAAGUCCAAAGCUUCUAUAUUUCCUCAUGCCAUAUUCCUUUUGUUUCUUUCUUAUUUACAAUUACGUGUCCAUGAGCUAUAAGGUAAGCAGUAUGUUACUGAAAAACACAAACCACAGUGACUUAGCCAAAUAUAGGUCUAAAUUUUUGCACAAAAAGGAAGAAAGGCCUCCCAUGGACGAUGGCCAACGCAGAGGCUCUACUCUUCCAUCAGGAUCACAGGUGCUCUGGCAUUUCUGCUUAAACAUCCUUGAGUGUGGCUUCUGUCCUUGUGCCUGUGGUUGCAAAAGGGCUGAAAAUAGCCGUUUCACCUCCAACAUUGCAUCGGUAUCCAGGUAGAAAGAAAAAAGGCAAAAGGCAUGUGCCACCUGAGUCUUCUGAAAGCCCCCCAAUAAAAUCUGGAACAAGACAAGGGUUUUUUGUUUGUUUGUUUUUUUUUUCUUUUGAGCUAGGAAGCUUAUUUCUCUGAACAAAAUCAAGAUUUGGCUGAUGUAAAUAAAAGAGAAAAUGGAGGUUGAGGAAUUGUUCCACAGUUUCUGAUUCAAGGAAUGCAAAACAAAAUGGACAUUGUAGUGAUAUGUAUCAGGCAGCAACCGUGUUUCUCUGAAUCUGUUUACGAGCAAGGGUUUGGGUUAGCGCGAGCCAUAACGGAUAUUUGGACUACAUUGGAAGGUAAGAGCGAAGCAGCAGACAUAUUCCUUUUACACUUGGGUGGUCUGGGCAAGCUACCAGGUACAGUUAUAUUCACUUACUUGUCACUGAUGUCUGCCAUUGUUUCUGUGUUUGGCACUGGUACUGAAUUUAGCAGGGCAGAGAGUCUCUCAACUUUCCAAAACAGAAACAAUGACAGACAUCAAGUGUUUGACCAACUUACAGAAUCACAUAAGCUCAAAUCCCUAAGAUAAAGAUCAUAAUCUCUAUUAUUCUUAGCGAUUCUGAUUCUCUGAUCAAAUAAUGACUGAUUAAAAAACGAAAAGAAUCCUCCACUUUGUAGACGAAGAAACUGAGUUGUCUGGUGAUCCCUGACAUUAAAGCAGAGAGAAAGUUUCCAGCUCAAAGUAGAAAAAUAUCUUCUGAUAACUGCACAGCAUGGAGAAGAGAAAAGAGGCAUGGGUUCUGAAACUGGAAAGUGAUUGAUUUACACCCCAAAUCUGAAACUUACCAGGAGCUUGACCUUGAGCAAUGCAACCUUUCGAGGAUCUGGUUUUCUUUUGUAUGACAAAGCUAACUGUACACAUACUUUUGGUGGUUUUGUGGGGAUAACAAACAAUAUAUGUAAGAAGCCCAGCAUAUAUUUAGUAAAGAAUAGGUGUUCCAAUAUAUGAUGUCGGUUCAUGAAGACUUUCCACUACACCAAUAGAUAACACAUAAAAAUAUCCUUUUAGUGUUGCAACAGAAGGACUCACAUAUCAUAAAUGUAGGAAACCAACAAUGAGGUAUAUUAAAUGAUAAAAGCAGGAAAUAGCCACAUAUUUGAUGUAAGGCAAAAAUGUCCUUUCCUCUCUCUCUCUCUGCCUCCCUCCCACUCUCACCACCACUUCAGCAUGGGUGCUUCACAAGUAACUUGUAUCUUCUCCAGUGCCCUUUAAUUGCCUUAACGAUGCCAAAACAACUUUAAAAUUAAUUAAUAAACAGAUAAAUACCUUGUAAAAAUGAACAAAGAACAUAAACGGGAAAUUUUCAAGAGACUAAACGUUUUAAUGCCAGAGUCAUGUAUUAAAUUAUGUUCCUCUGAGAAGGAAAAACACAAGAUGAGCCUGGAGCACCUUGCAGUGGCAUAAAGUAAAGAAAGGAUCAAAAAGAAAAAGAAAAAAGGGAGAAAGAAGGGAAGGAGGAAGGGAGGGAGGGAGGAAGGAAGGAAGAAGGAAGGAAGGAAGGGGGAAGAAAAAGCAAACACACUGAAACGAUCUGGAUACAUAAAAGUGACACAGGAGACAACCAAAAGAGCUCUCGACGGCCAAAUCUGGAACAAUCUGAGCAAUAAAAUAAAGUAGUUAUUGAAUUAUAGCCUAAAGUAUUCAAUAAAUACCCAUGAGGUUAUUUCCAUAUAAAUGGAUGAAUGAAUGAAUAAAGACAAAUCUUCCAUGUAGAAGAAUUCCAAAUAAUUUAUGUAAAUAACUGCCUUCAAGGAGAUGAAGGAUAACUUCUUACUCCUUCAGGGGAGGCUGUGCACAGAGACUUCCUUUGAAUGCAUACAAUAUGGGAAGGGAGAACAAAAGAAUAACUUUAUAGUGGAAGAAUCCGACAAGCACUUCAAUCAAGUAAUCACGGUCAACAUCAGGAUGUAUGAAUCAUGUCGAGAGCAUGUCCCUUGGACGUAAGCAGUGAAAAUGUCACUCUACCUCUGUUAUCGUCCACAUAACCCUUGCAUAAUGAUGAAACAUCAGGCAAAUCCCAGUAAAGAUAUAUUCUACAAACACCUGAAUAGGACUCCUUGAAACUAUCAAGGUCAUCAAAAGCAGAGAAAAUAUAAGGAACUGACACCAGCUUAGAGGAGGCUAUUGAGGCAUCACUAUUAAAUGUAAUGUAAUAUUCUGGAUAGGGUCCUGGAGAGAAUGACAUUUAGGUAAAAACUAAGAAAAUCUGACUUAGCAUGGACUUCAUAAUAUCAAUGUAUAGAGAGUAUUCACUAAUUUUAACAAAUGUACUAUACCACAAGUUAAUAAUAGGGGAAAGGAGUGUUACUGGAAUUCUCCACUAGCUCUGCAAUUUUUCAUACAUUUGAAACUCUUUUUAAAAUGUAAAAAUAUCGUAAUGUUUAUUCUUAUUGUAAAAAGUAUAUAAUUAUUAAAACAUAUCAUUUUUCACAUAUACUGGCAAAGUUUAAGUAUAGAAAUUUGGUAAUUGAUUAUAAAAUAAGCACUUACAUACUGGAAUAAAUUCAUGCAAUUUUUCUAAAGGGUAUUGUGAACACACUCUGAUUUAGCAAUCUCAUUUCUAGAAUUUAUUCCUAUAUGCUUAUCACAUAACUGAGAAACAUACAAGGAUGUUUAUUGUAGCUAAAUGCUUAUCAAUAUGGGACUAAAUCAGUUCUGCAUGCAUACAUCCAACAUUCUACAGCCACCAAAAUUAUGCACAUGUAAACAUUAUAUUCAUAUCACAUCAUUUAUAUAAAAAUUUUAAUAUAGUCCUACUUGUGUAAAUAUUGUAUGAGCCUCUGUGUGUAAACAUACACACACACACAUCUAUACGCAUAUAUAUAUGGUAAACAACAUAUUAGCAGUAGUUAGUGGAAAAUAGUGGGAUAAAGAGUUAUUAUAAUUUCUUUUAAUUGAUUAUUAUAAGGUAUAAUAAAUCUAUUUACUUUGUUAAAGCCAUAUAGUUUGGGGAUUUUAAUUUUAAUUUUUGGACUCCUAGGAGUUAUGUUACCUUCAUAAAUGAGUCAGUAUCCAUGAGCCUCUUUUAUUUAUUUAUUUUUUAAAUUUUAUCAUGAGCCUCUUUUAGCCCCAAGUUUAACGCCCAAGGACAGUUCGCAAAACCCAGCUCCACUUUCUGAGUGCAGCGCUUUGCACCUUAAAUAGCUGGUGGGCAAAAAUAAAAAAUAAAAAUAAAUAAAAAAUAAAAAAAAAACCACUUGCAAUGGGAACAGAAGGAAGCUGAAAUAUUAAGUAGUUAAACAACUUGACCAAGGUGACACCCUUAGUAAGAAACCUCAUCAGGACGCAUAUACUGAUCUGUUUCUUCCAGAACUAGCAUUUCAACCACCGACUGUAAUUCUGGAAACAGAGAUUGCUCGUAUCUUAACUCUGCCACGUCCCAGCUAUGUGGGGGUACAGCAACACAAUAAUCUCUCAGAGCUUCACUUUUAUCAUCUGUAAAAAGGAGGUAACUACACCUAGUUUGCAAAAAUCAUGUGAGAGAAAGAGUAUGGCCCAGAAUAGGUGCU
rnacentral:lncRNA from 1 species